AUGCUGGGGGUCCACUCCUCCCUGGCCAUGUGGUUUGCCCAGGAAUCACAGUGGGGCCUGUUUGAGCACUAUUUCUCCAAGGCUUGCCAGUUGGUGAAAAGAACCAAUGCUUCGCUAUUUGGUGCACAUGGCUUUGUCCGAUUCCUAGAGUGCCAUGUGCUAAUGUUACAGAAAAUACCAGAGGGUAUCUUCAUGCAUAUUCCUCUAGAGCUUCGCAGCCAAACCCUUGAGUACUUUAAGGAGUUCUUCUCUCGAUGUGUGACCUGCCCUGUCUAUCACCAGUGGGUAUCUGAGCUUAAGGCCUCUGUAAUGAGAUGUGAAAAGAGAGAAUUCAUGUCCCUGACUAACAGCAUCAGACCUUUUGACACUUGCUUGACCAGGAUUUGGAUAAAAGGAGAAUUUCUGCAGGAAAAUAACUCUUAGAAAAGAAAUUUAGGAAUACAGAGUAAGCAUUUCUUCCUGGAACCCUUGUGUGAGAGACAUAAAGACAGUCUCAGAUUCUUACUCAUGAGCAGUCAAAGGCUGCACUUCUGAAGUAAAAAGGGACACACAGAUGUAAGGAGUUAGUCCUUGCUCCAGAGGUAAGUAUAAUCCUCUUCCUAAUGCUAGGCCCUGCCUGGACAGAUAGGAAUCCCUUCUAUUGUUAAACAGCAAUUUCUUCAGCUUCUCUCAGCUCUUUGUUUCAGUAUUGGUAACCCUUAGGCAUAGAAAGUUCUUCCUUGCUUUUAGCCAAAGCAAUUGGGUUGUUUCCUUGGAAUAACUGGAUGGUCACUAAGGAGAGAAAAAGGUCUUAGAAGUCACAAUGUAAUGUCUGUGAAGGUGAAUGAUAACAUUAGGCAAGAAAAGGAGAGGAAAGAAUAUAGUUCCUUUCCUCAGAGCCCUGCAAAUCUCCUUCUUUCCCAGGGCCACUAUUAACUUUGUAAUUGCUGAGGACAUUCUUUGUAUUUAUCACAUUCUUUAUGUUCCUUCUUUCAGGAUUUAACAGAGUGGCUGAUGUCAAGGAGAACAAGGAUGCAGAAGAAACUCAAGAUGUAUGUGUUAAAAGAACAAUAACCUGAAGGGACCAUGAUUCUCUUAUUGUAUAUAACACAAGGAAAUGCCCCAGAUUCUCCUUUUAAAUAUAUAGUGUACAUAUUAAGUAUACUAGCCUUUAUAGUUACUGCUAUCUAUAUGUUUAUCAAAAUAAAAGACUAUUUUUUUCUAAAACAUGCCACUUAGAUUUUUUUUAACUCUUAAAAGUCAUUAGCACAACUCUACCAGAAGUUAAAACCAGGAGUAGACAGGAGGCCUGGAAGGCUUUAAGAUGAACUGAUUCCAUCUUUUGUAAGGUGAGAUCCAUUAGCAGAUGAAAAACUAUGACCCUAAUAAAGAAAUUGCCAUUACUUAAGGAGGGCUGGUAGUGCGAGUGCCUUCGUGUUGCCCUCUUUCGGCACAGAUUUGGUGAUGGGCUCCUAAGAAGUCAAGGAGUCUUGAGAGGUACAAAGGGUUGUGGGAAUCCAUUUCUCCUUUGUGCUAUGUGAUUUGGCCAUUCCCAGGUAAAACUGCGAAGUUGCCAAAGUAUGUGUAACUUUAGCUUUCUCCCUUUUUCUUCUCUUUGGAGUUGCCAUCUUUGGCCUUUAUCUAUUUGAUGGUGCUUCUUCCACUGAGUAUGAUCUUCCCAUUGAUUUCUUACACUUUGUAACUCAAUCAUCUAGUGUCCAUAGAGUGAAUUUGCUAAUGUUAUGAUAGCUGCAAUUCGUUAUUUACUUACUUGUGCUUGAAAUACAUUGUUUAAAUCCUAUAUCAAUUCUGUGAGUCAAGUACUAUUAUUAUCCCAUAUUACAGAUGAGGAAAUGGAAGCCUAGAAAGAGUUUACCCCAACAAACAUAGCCACAAAAUGAUAGAGCUGAGCUUCUAACUCAGAUUUGAUUCCAGAGAUUAUGCUAGGCUAUGCAGGCUUUCAU
rnacentral:lncRNA from 10 species